rnacentral:rRNA from 1 species
AGGGUUUGAUCAUGGCUCAGAGCGAACGCUGGCGGCAGGCCUAACACAUGCAAGUCGAGCGGCCGUAGCAAUACGGCAGCGGCAGACGGGAGAGUAACACGUGGGAACGCGCCCUUCGGUUCGGGAUAACCCAGGGAAACUUGGGCUAAUACCGGAUACGCCCUUACGGGGAAAGAUUUAUUGCCGAAGGAACGGCCCGCGUCCGAUUAGCUAGUUGGUGAGGUAACGGCUCACCAAGGCGACGAUCGGUAGCUGGUCUGAGAGGAUGACCAGCCUCACUGGGACUGAGACACGGCCCAGACUCCUACGGGAGGCAGCAGUGGGGAAUAUUGGACAAUGGGCGCAAGCCUGAUCCAGCCAUGCCGCGUGGGUGAUGAAGGCCCUAGGGUUGUAAAGCCCUUUCAGCGGGGAAGAUAAUGACGGUACCCGCAGAAGAAGCCCCGGCUAACUUCGUGCCAGCAGCCGCGGUAAUACGAAGGGGGCUAGCGUUGCUCGGAAUUACUGGGCGUAAAGCGCACGUAGGCGGCUUUCUAAGUCGGGGGUGAAAUCCUGGAGCUCAACUCCAGAACUGCCUUCGAUACUGGAAAGCUCGAGUCCGGGAGAGGUGAGUGGAACUGCGAGUGUAGAGGUGAAAUUCGUAGAUAUUCGCAAGAACACCAGUGGCGAAGGCGGCUCACUGGCCCGGUACUGACGCUGAGGUGCGAAAGCGUGGGGGAGCAAACAGGAUUAGAUACCCUGGUAGUCCACGCCGUAAACGAUGGAUGCUAGCCGUUGGCGAGCUUGCUCGUCAGUGGCGCAGCUAACGCUUUAAGCAUCCCGCCUGGGGAGUACGGUCGCAAGA